rnacentral:misc_RNA from 1 species
UAAACAGGCGAGGGAAAUUAAAAUAAAAUAAAAAGGAAAACAUUUUACAAAUUUGUUACCUUUUAAAAGAGACUCAGUAUUCCUUUCUAUCACUCUCAUUAACUGUAUUUAUGUUUUUCGUGUUUACUGUAAACUCUUUGGGAACAUAUAAUAUGUCGUCCAAGAGGUGUCGCUUUGGUUUAGUUAUGUUUGUAACUGACUAAAGAGGAAAGAGUUGUGGUAUUUCGUCAAGAUUAAUAUAAGGAUCAUGGGAGAAGAAGUGUUACUCCAAAAGCUCAACUCGUAUAUUACACUUGUAAAAUUAUAUGAAGAACAUGAGACUCAAGGUGAAGCUUUGAAAUGUGUACCUUUGCAUAAGUUAAGAGAAAAAAGUAAAAAACGAUUUCUAAAUUUUUGUACACAGAGUGAUAACAUAGUUGAUGAAAAGGAUUGCCUUCUUAUUGAACUUUUACAUUGGUUCAAAAAUGAAUUUUUUUCCUGGAUGGACACUCCAAGUUGUCCUAUUUGCCAAAAAAAGACACAGAAUAGAGGAUCAACUGUUCCUUCAGUGGAAGAAGAAAAAUGGCUUGCACACCAAGUUGAAAGUUACUUCUGUGAAAGUUGUCAUAAAAUUGUUAAGUUUCCUCGUUAUAAUCACCCCAAAAAAUUGUUAGAAACAAGAAGUGGCCGUUGUGGUGAAUGGGCUAAUUGUUUUACCCUUAUUUGCAGAGCUUUAGGAUUUGAAGCUCGUUUUAUAUUAGACAUAACUGAUCAUGUCUGGUCUGAAGUAUUUUCAGAUUCUCAAAAUCGGUGGUUACAUUGUGAUCCAUGCGAGAAUGUGUGUGACAAGCCAUUGCUAUAUGAGCUAGGCUGGAAGAAAAAACUUUCUUAUGUGCUAGCCUUCUCAAAAGAUGAGGUUCAAGAUGUUACAUGGCGAUACACAACAAAUUUUGAAGUUGUUCUGGAACGAAGAAACUUGUGUGAUGAGGCAUUGUUAAUUCAUCAUCUAAUGAGAUUAACUAGCCAAUUGCAGUUGGGCUUAUCUUCUUCAAUACGUGAGCAAUUACUCAAAAGAAGAAUUCAGGAAUUGUGUGAAUUUUUAACUCCACCAUCUCCAUCGGGAGAGGAUUAUUCAGGCCGACAGUCAGGUUCUUUGUUGUGGCGUCUUGCACGUGGAGAGACUCAAUGUGAAGGAAUUACAAAACACUUUAUAUUCAGAUUAGAUAGUGAUGAGCAACAACAAAAACUUUUUCGCCUAAGAUAUUCAGCUUCUGAGAAUAAUUAUGUAAGAGAUUCAAGCCAUGACAAAAAAAUCAUUGGGUGGGAAAAUGGAACUCAUCAGCACAAGGAUGUGUUUAGAAAAGUAGAACAUGACUGGAAUAUGAUAUAUUUAGCACGUAAAGAAAAUUGUGAUAUUGGAACUAUAACCUGGAAAUUUGACUUUGAAGAUACGGAACUUAGAGUGAAUGAAGUCAUAAUCUUAUGUCAGAGUGAAACGUUUGAAAAUGGUAUUGUGGAAUGGGUGUUAACCAGUGAGAAGCAAGAAAUAAAUAUAUCUGAUGGUAAUACACCUACUCUGCUCUCAGAACUUCGAGGCUCAAGGACUUUGACCCUGACAGCUAGUCUUAGUGGAGGCCGUGGUCCUUCAGCCUGGCAGCAUGCCCAGCUUUUCAGACAAUGUGCAAAGAGCAACACCUAUCCGCUUGAUAUUUUAAUAUCAUUCUUCUGAUGUAUAUAUAAUAAGUAAAGUAUUCCAAAUAAAUUUUAGGAGUGCUAUCAUGGGUAAUGAAUCGGAUUGAUUAUAAAUAAAACAAUAAUAAUUGAAAGUGUAACUAAUAAAAUGUUAAUCUGUACAAAUUCAAUGUAAAGUGUAAUCAGUAUUCAAAAUUAAAAAUGUUUGUUAAAAUCACAAAUUUCGAAAUGAUAGUGUAGUUUAUGGGCCUACCUUCUAUUGGACAUUACUGUAAUUAGGUGACACUAAAGCGUAGAAUCAUUCGGAGUAAAAUAUUAAAACAAAGUUUUGAUAAAACCUAUUGAAAAUAACAUACAAAAUAUUUGAAAUAAAAAAUAUAUAAUAUGUGUCAUUCUUAAAAAUUGGAGAAAUCAUGUAGUUUUGUUAUUUUACCUCUGAGUAAAUGUUGCCUUCUUUGUCCCUUAUCA